GCUUGUCGAUAACUCCGAGCCCAAUAUUCUACGUUAUGAAAGAUGAAUAUGAAUAUUGCGCCGUGAUGCUCACCAGCAAUGUUGGAAUUAUGACGCAUCACCAGGGUCAUUCUAGAAAUGGACUGGCCUCCCGUAUUUGGAAAGGUGUUUUGUGAACAUUGAA
rnacentral:ncRNA from 2 species